CUGAGGAAAAUAUAUGGCAGCCUGUGACUGCUGUAAUGAGCCCUUGGGGGCACUAGCAGUUGGCAUCUUUCAGCUGCUCUGCCUUGUGCUGGAAGGCUGGACCACCACGAAGCAGCUCCAAGAAACCAUCCGUCCUCUUGAAGGUGGGAAGCAUCUUCCCACACUGUCAGAUUUAAAUAUUUAAUCUAGAGAGUGAACUUGAGUUGAAAUGCACCUCCUUUGGCAAUGGAAACUGCCUUUGAAGUUUUUGGAUCUUCUGCAUUCCGUGUUUCCUGUUUUAAAUUGAAAGAACAAAGCACUCUGGAAUAGUGCACUGUAAGCACCCUGUGAAACCUGCAUGUCAGACAUCUGGCCAGCUGACAUGAGGAGCCAGACAGAAGGAGGAGGUCCAGGGGCAUUUCAUUCAUCUUCCCAUCAAGCAACCUGCCUGAGGUAUUGACUUGCUGGUAGGAAAUUUUGGCUAGACUGAUACUGAGAGGGCCAGAUGGAAGCGUCAUCCUUCAGCAUCGCUCGUUUUGCGUAACACUGGGAUUGGAACUACAUUUGAAUAGCACAUAGUCAUAGAUGUGUACAGAAGCCUUGCCAUGCUUUAAAUAAGUGAAUGCAGGUAUAGAAAAGUCCCCCAGGAUUUCCUUCUUUGUUACAGUGAUCUCAUUUUCUUGUGUACAAGCAGGAGGACAAGUGUGCACUUGGAUGAUGAUGAAAAUGAACUUAACCAUCCAGAAUGAGGUGACUGCUAUUUUGACUGUAGAAUCAGCAUUCCCAGACACGAGUAUAUUGUCCUUGAGUUCCAUUCCACUUGUGAGAGACUGGUGGCCUGUUAGUGUGUGAAUGCAGUUGCCUGUCUCCACAUCCCAAACUCGGAUGGAAGUAUCAAGAGAUCCACUCACCACAUGGAUACCAUCAAACUACAAGAAAGUCCUGCCAGAUUGUGGUGAGAACAGGCACAAGCAUGAAAUUAAUUUCUUUCGCCUUUCAACGCCUGGAAGUGAUGCUCUGACUCUAUGAAUGAGCAAGACUCUUUUGGGUUAGUAAAGGUAAGGAAAGUCUACAUGAGGGCUCUGUGCAUCUUUGCCAGCUUUGUUCUGAUGAGCAGUCUGGGUGAGCGGAAGGCAAUAGAGCCAUGCCACAGAGCACUACCACAAUAACCUGCAUCUACAGUAACAUGUCGCUGUUGACAAAGCCUCACAGUUGUAGAUCUGGCCUCUACUCAGAGAAGAGGAAGUAGAAGGCUGGAGAUUUACACUGGAACAUUAAAAUUUUAGGUUCAGUCUUUCUGUGAAUUACAGUUUAGAACUGCAAUAUGGGACUACAAAAUAAGGAUAAGCGGAUCUGCAUAAUUCAGAACAUUAAUCCAAUGAGGUUUUUGGCACAUUUUCAAUUACUGUAUCAUCUGAUUUAUUUAAAACAGUAAGUUUUGAAUUUCUUUGGGGAAAGCAAAAACAUAGCUCCAAAACACAUGCAAGAUUAAAAAAAAAUACCCAACCAAACAACCCAGCAACCACAAAACUGUUUCAUUUGCUGGUAUAGAGAUUUGGGCUUUAUUGUACUGGGUGCUUUA